AGUAAAAGUCGUAACAAGGUUUCCGUAGGUGAACCUGCGGAAGGAUCAUUAUCGAGUUUGAAAGAGGUUGUCGCUGGUCCUCCGGGGCAUGUGCACGCCUUGCUCAUCCAUCUCACACCUGUGCACCUUUUGUAGUUCCGGGAAAGGGACCCUAGGCCCUCGCCCUGGUUCUGCGUCUUCACACACUCUAAACGUUCAGAAUGUCUAUACCGCGAUAAAACGCAAAAAUACAACUUUCAACAACGGACCUCUUGGCUCUCGCAUCGAUGAAGAACGCAGCGAAAUGCGAUAAGUAAUGUGAAUUGCAGAAUUCAGUGAAUCAUCGAAUCUUUGAACGCACCUUGCGCUCGCCGGUAUUCCGGCGAGCAUGCCUGUUUGAGUCUCAUGAAUCUCUCAAACUCCUGGUUCGCCAGGAGCUUUGGACUUGGAGGUCUGCCGGCGCUCGUCGGCUCCUCUCUAAAUGCAUUAGCUUGGAUCAUACGCGCUCGAUCUACGGUGUGAUAAACGUCUACCCGUGCGAUCGGCGCCUCGCAUGUACACCGUGGGCUUUAUUGCUCGCAGCGCUUCGGCCGUGUGUUAGCGAGCUGGUCUGGCUUCUAAUCGCCCUCGGGCAACGCUCUGACAUCUGAGCUCAAAUCAGGUAGGACUACCCGCUGAACUUAAGCAUAUCAAUAAGCGGAGGA
rnacentral:rRNA from 1 species